GUGUCAGCAGCCGCGGUAAUACGUAGGGUGCAAGCGUUAAUCGGAAUUACUGGGCGUAAAGCGUGCGCAGGCGGUUGUGUAAGUCUGACGUGAAAUCCCCGGGCUCAACCUGGGAAUUGCGUUGGAGACUGCACGGCUAGAAUCUGGCAGAGGGGGGUAGAAUUCCACGUGUAGCAGUGAAAUGCGUAGAUAUGUGGAGGAACACCGAUGGCGAAGGCAGCCCCCUGGGCUAAGAUUGACGCUCAUGCACGAAAGCGUGGGAGCAAACAGGAUUAGAAACCCGUGUAGUCC
rnacentral:rRNA from 1 species